rnacentral:rRNA from 1 species
GAUAAACGCUGGCGGCGUGCCUAAUACAUGCAAGUCGAGCGAACGGACGAGAAGCUUGCUUCUCUGAUGUUAGCGGCGGACGGGUGAGUAACACGUGGAUAACCUACCUAUAAGACUGGGAUAACUUCGGGAAACCGGAGCUAAUACCGGAUAAUAUUUUGAACCGCAUGGUUCAAAAGUGAAGGACGGUCUUGCUGUCACUUAUAGAUGGAUCCGCGCUGCAUUAGCUAGUUGGUAAGGUAACGGCUUACCAAGGCAACGAUGCAUAGCCGACCUGAGAGGGUGAUCGGCCACACUGGAACUGAGACACGGUCCAGACUCCUACGGGAGGCAGCAGUAGGGAAUCUUCCGCAAUGGGCGAAAGCCUGACGGAGCAACGCCGCGUGAGUGAUGAAGGUCUUCGGAUCGUAAAACUCUGUUAUUAGGGAAGAACAUAUGUGUAAGUAACUGUGCACAUCUUGACGGUACCUAAUCAGAAAGCCACGGCUAACUACGUGCCAGCAGCCGCGGUAAUACGUAGGUGGCAAGCGUUAUCCGGAAUUAUUGGGCGUAAAGCGCGCGUAGGCGGUUUUUUAAGUCUGAUGUGAAAGCCCACGGCUCAACCGUGGAGGGUCAUUGGAAACUGGAAAACUUGAGUGCAGAAGAGGAAAGUGGAAUUCCAUGUGUAGCGGUGAAAUGCGCAGAGAUAUGGAGGAACACCAGUGGCGAAGGCGACUUUCUGGUCUGUAACUGACGCUGAUGUGCGAAAGCGUGGGGAUCAAACAGGAUUAGAUACCCUGGUAGUCCACGCCGUAAACGAUGAGUGCUAAGUGUUAGGGGGUUUCCGCCCCUUAGUGCUGCAGCUAACGCAUUAAGCACUCCGCCUGGGGAGUACGACCGCAAGGUUGAAACUCAAAGGAAUUGACGGGGACCCGCACAAGCGGUGGAGCAUGUGGUUUAAUUCGAAGCAACGCGAAGAACCUUACCAAAUCUUGACAUCCUUUGACAACUCUAGAGAUAGAGCCUUCCCCUUCGGGGGACAAAGUGACAGGUGGUGCAUGGUUGUCGUCAGCUCGUGUCGUGAGAUGUUGGGUUAAGUCCCGCAACGAGCGCAACCCUUAAGCUUAGUUGCCAUCAUUAAGUUGGGCACUCUAAGUUGACUGCCGGUGACAAACCGGAGGAAGGUGGGGAUGACGUCAAAUCAUCAUGCCCCUUAUGAUUUGGGCUACACACGUGCUACAAUGGACAAUACAAAGGGCAGCGAAACCGCGAGGUCAAGCAAAUCCCAUAAAGUUGUUCUCAGUUCGGAUUGUAGUCUGCAACUCGACUACAUGAAGCUGGAAUCGCUAGUAAUCGUAGAUCAGCAUGCUACGGUGAAUACGUUCCCGGGUCU